rnacentral:rRNA from 1 species
GGCGAACGCUGGCGGCGUGCUUAACACAUGCAAGUCGAGCGGUAAGGCCCUUUCGGGGGUACACGAGCGGCGAACGGGUGAGUAACACGUGGGUGACCUGCCCUCAGCUCUGGGAUAAGCCUGGGAAACUGGGUCUAAUACUGGAUAUGACUCCACGGUGCAUGUCGUGGGGUGGAAAGCCUUGUGCGGCUGAGGAUGGGCUCGCGGCCUAUCAGCUUG